UACGUAGGGGACUAGCGUUGUCCGGAAUCAUUGAGCGUAAAGCGCACGUAGGCGGCUUUUUAAGUCAGGGGUGAAAUCCUGGAGCUCAACUCCAGAACUGCCUUUGAUACUGGGUGUCUUGAGUUCGGAAGAGGUGAGUGGAAUUGCGAGUGUAGAGGUGAAAUUCGUAGAUAUUCGCAAGAACACCAGUGGCGAAGGCGGCUCACUGGCCCGAUACUGACGCUGAGGUGCGAAAGCGUGGGGAGCAAACAGG
rnacentral:rRNA from 1 species